rnacentral:rRNA from 1 species
CCUACGGGAGGCAGCAGUAGGGAAUUUUGCUCAAUGGGCGAGAGCCUGACGCAGCCAAGCCGCGUGAACGAGACGCCCUUCGGGGUUUGAAAUUCUGUCAGUGGGGACGAAAAAUGCCGGUACCCCCAGAGGAAGCACCGGCCAACUCCGUUCCAGCAGCCGCGGUAAUACGGCGGGUGCCAGCGUUGUCCGGAAUCAUUGGGCGUAAAGCGUUCGUAGGCGGCAUGGAAAGUCAGGGGGUAAAGGCGCAGGCUCAACCUGUGUAUGGCAGUUGAGACUGGCAAGCUGGAAUGCGGUAGAGGUAAAGGGAAUUCCUGGUGUAGCGGUGAAAUGCUUAGAUAUCAGGAGGAACAGCGGUGGCGUAAGCGCUUUACUGGGCCGUAAUUGACGCUGAGGAACGAAAGCGAGGGUAGCAAAUGGGAUUAGAUACCCGUGUAGUC